CCAAUAGCGUAUAUUAAAGUUGUUGCAGUUAAAAAGCUCGUAGUUGAAUUUUGGAUUCUUCCAAUUGGUCCAUCUUUUAGAUGAGUACUGGUUGUGUGGGGUCUAUCCGCCUGGUGAUACGUAAUGUCCUUUAUUGGAUGUUGCGGGUAGUCAGGACCUUUACCUUGAAAAAAUUAGAGUGUUUAAAGCAGGCUUAUGCCGGAAUACAUUAGCAUGGAAUAAUAGAAUAGGACGAAGUUGUUUUAUUUUGUUGGUUUCUAGGACAACCGUAAUGAUUAAUAGGGUUAGUUGGGGGCAUUAGUAUUCAAUUGUCAGAGGUGAAAUUCUUGGAUUUAUUGAAUACUAACUACUGCGAAAGCAUUUGCCAAGGAUUUUUUCAUUAAUCAAGAACGAAAGUUAGGGGAUCGAAGACGAUCAGAUACCGUCGUAGUCUUAACCAUAAACUAUGCCGACUAGGGAUCGGGCGAUGUUGUUUCCAUGACUCGCUCGGCACCUUAUG
rnacentral:rRNA from 1 species